rfam:Lachnospiraceae bacterium 28-4 genomic scaffold acPFn-supercont1.3, whole genome shotgun sequence.
GGCUAAGCUGGAAAGGGCACAGGGCGGAUGCCUUGGCACUGGGGGCCGAAGAAAGACGCGAUAAGCUGCGAAAAGCUGCGGGGAGGGGCAAAUACCCGAGGAUCCGCAGGUAUCUGAAUGGGGCAACCCGCGCAGGGAGAGCCUGCGCGCCGGUAAGUGAAUCCAUAGCUUACCGGGGGGAACCCGGCGAACUGAAACAUCUAAGUAGCCGGAGGAGAAGAAAACAAAAGUGAUUCCCGGAGUAGCGGCGAGCGAAACGGGAGGAGCCCAAACCGGUGCGCGAAGCGCGCCGGGGUAAGGGGCCGCAGGAACCGACCGGAAAAGAAGCGGAACGGCGCUGGAAAGGCCGGCCGCAGAGGGUGAAAGCCCCGUAGGCGGAAGAAGAAGGGAGGCGGCGGCGCCCGGAGUACCACGGGACACGAGGAAUCCAGUGGGAAGGAGCGGGGACCACCCCGCAAGGCUAAAUACCCCCAGUGACCGAUAGCGUAGAGUACUGUGAAGGAAAGGUGAAAAGGACCCCGGGAGGGGAGUGAAAGAGAACCUGAAACCCUGUGCCUACAAACUGCGGGGGCGUCCGAAAGGGCGUGACCGCGUACUUUUUGUAGAACGGUCCGGCGAGCUGCCGGUGCUGGCAAGGUUAAGCGCCUAAAGCGCGGAGCCGAAGGGAAACCGAGCCUGAAGAGGGCGAGAAAGUCAGCAGCGGUAGGCCCGAAACCGGGUGAUCUACCCGUGCCCAGGCCGAAGCUGCCGUAAGAGGCAGUGGAGGGCCGAACCCACGUCCGUUGAAAAGGGCGGGGAGGAGGUGCGGGUAGGGGAGAAAUUCCAAUCGAACCCGGAGAUAGCUGGUUCUCCCCGAAAUAGCUUUAGGGCUAGCCCUGCCCGAGCCUGGCGGAGGUAGAGCACUGAAUACCCUAGGGGGCGUCAAAGCCUACCGAAGGUUAUCAAACUCCGAAUGCCGCAGAGGCGGUGGGCGGGAGUCAGACCGCACGAGACAAGUCGGGCGGUCGAGAGGGAAAGAGCCCAGACCUGCAGCCAAGGCCCCCAAGUCCGUGUUAAGUGGGAAAGGAUGUGGGGCUUCCAAGACAGCUAGGAUGUUGGCCCAGAAGCAGCCAAACAUUCAAAGAGUGCGUAAUAGCUCACUAGUCGAGAAGCCCUGCGCCGAAAAUGUCCGGGGCUGAAACACGGCGCCGAAGCUCAGGGAUGCACGUGGGGUGCAUCGGUAGGGGAGCAUCGCCGGGGCGCGGAAGCAGUGCCGGGAGGGAUUGUGGAGCCCCGGGGAGAGAGAAUGCCGGAAUGAGUAGCGAGAAAGAGGUGGGAAUCCUCUUGGCCGAAUAUCCAAGGAUUCCAGGGUAAAGCUGAUCUGCCCUGGGUAAGUCGGGGCCUAAGGCGAGGCGGGGACGCGUAGCCGAAGGACAACAGGUGGAGAUUCCUGUACUGCACGGGAGCAGAACUGCAGGGACGCAUGUGCGAAGCAUGGGCCGGGGAGGGAGAACCCGGUGCAAGCGGAGGAGGCCGGCGGGCGGAAAAGCCGUCCGCCACAAGGCCGGUGCCGUGACGCGGAGCGAAAAGGAGUAGCGAAGCAUGCAGGGCAUGUGCCAAGAAAAGCUGCUAUUGUCUGCCGUGCACCCGUACCGCAAACCGACACAGGUGGAUGGGGGGAGGACCCCAAGGCCGGCGGGAGAAGCAUUGCCAAGGAACUCGGCAAAAUGGCCCCGUAACUUCGGGAGAAGGGGCGCCCGUCCGGAAGGACGGGCCGCAGGGAAAAGGCCCAAGCAACUGUUUAGCAAAAACACAGGCCUAUGCGAAACCGGAAGGUGAAGUAUAUGGGCUGACGCCUGCCCGGUGCUGGAAGGUUAACGGGAGCGGUCAGGGAGACCGAAGCCGCGAACUUAAGCCCCAGUAAACGGCGGCCGUAACUAUAACGGUCCUAAGGUAGCGAAAUUCCUUGUCGGGUAAGUUCCGACCCGCACGAAAGGCGUAAUGAUUUGGGCGCUGUCUCGGCAAUGCACCCGGUGAAAUUGAAGUGCCAGUGAAGAUGCUGGCUACCUGCGCCAGGACGGAAAGACCCCAUGGAGCUUUACUCCAGCUUGGCGCUGGGGUCCGGCGCUGCAUGUACAGGAUAGGUGGGAGGCUUUGAUGGGGGCGCGCCAGCGCUUUCGGAGCCGCCGUUGGGAUACCACCCCUGCAGCGCUGGGCCUCUAACCGCCGGCCGUGGAACCGGCCGCGGGACACCGCCUGGCGGGGAGUUUGACUGGGGCGGUCGCCUCCGAAAGGGUAUCGGAGGCGCUCAAAGGUCCCCUCAGGAUGGACGGGAACCAUCCGCAGAGUGCAAAGGCAGAAGGGGGCCUGACUGCGACACCGACGGGUGGGGCAGGCAGGAAACUGGGACUUAGUGAUCCGGCGGCAACGGGUGGAAGUGCCGUCGCUCAACGGAUAAAAGCUACCCUGGGGAUAACAGGCUUAUCACCCCCAAGAGUUCACAUCGACGGGGUGGUUUGGCACCUCGAUGUCGGCUCAUCGCAUCCUGGGGCUGCAGCAGGUCCCAAGGGUUGGGCUGUUCGCCCAUUAAAGCGGUACGCGAGCUGGGUUCAGAACGUCGUGAGACAGUUCGGUCCCUAUCCGGCGCAGGCGCAGGAGGCCUGCGGGGAGCUGCCCCUAGUACGAGAGGACCGGGGUGGACGGGCCGCUGGUGUACCUGCUGGGCCGCUUGGCCCACGGCAGGGUAGCCAAGCCCGGGAGGGAUAAACGCUGAAGGCAUCUAAGCGUGAAGCCCCCCCCAAGACGAGGCCUCCCACGCGGAAGCGGUAAGGCCCCCCGUAGAGGACGGGGUAGGUGGGCGCGGAGUGGAAGCGCAGCAAUGCGUGGAGCGGACGCGUACUAAUCGGCCGAGGGCUUACCCAU